GGGAAUUCACUUGACAAUUAUUUUUCAUGGGAAAUCUCAAGAAGUAACAAGAGAUCGGUUUUGGGUUUUAAUAUAUCAAUGAGGUAAAACCUGGAAUUAUCUCGGUAGGGAAUGAUUCUGCGAGGCAAUAUGACAAGACUUUUUUUGUCGAGAAUUUACUUAGCUACAAAAAAAGUUAUUUUCAAUAUUCCCGUAUAAUCACGCGUUAUUAAGAUAAUCAUAUAAUUGCCAUCAUUAAUUUUCCAACAAAUGAGGAAGACGUGAGAAAAUCGGUAAAAUUUUUCAAUCGUAGAUAUCUCAAAAUGGGCCACAUCAAUUCCAACGAAUGGCUCUCAUUGAGAACUCAUUUAGGAAGAGUACUUUAAAAUGAGAUCUCAUUCAUUAAAAUCGGAUGAUGCAGUCAGGAGAUAAUGACGAUUUAACGUUCAUCUCACGACUCUCCCUCGCAAACCUAAAACCCACCUCAUUCACGAAAUUUCCCUUAUGAUUAUUAUCAUCAUUCUCAUACCUCACUUCACAUAUUAAGAAUAUAUAUCUAGGUACAUUGUCGGUGAGGUACUCACGUCUGCAACCAUCGGAUUGAAUUCGACAACGAAUGUAUUUAAUGAAUUCACAUAUAAGUGCUGAUUCACUUACAAUCAAUUGGCGGUUUCAGUUGGAUAUCACAUUUUAUUAUUAUCGCUCCUUGCCACACGUUGAAUAAACAAAAUCAAUGAACCAUGGGCGAACAAAAAAAUAGUCAAAAGUGGUUGAGCAAGACGAGUAUUCAAUGUGCAUUAUAGUAACAUUCCACGAAUUCAGUCCAAUUGAUUUCUGACUCCAGUACAUCACUUUCUAAUUCUCAUUCUCAAUAUAGUCCUAAUUUUUCACCUAUUAUUAUUCCAUUAUUUACGCAGUAUCGUAUAGCUUUACCCAGUGACAGCAACAAUCAAGCAUGCAAAAUCAUACAAUUACCUAACGAAAUAAUCCAUUACAUUAUUUUCAAUAAUAUUUUUUUUUUCAUUUACUUGAAAAAAUCUCUGGUCUCUCUGAAUAGAUAAAUAACUUCUCGAUUGUUAUCAGUUUUGUUUCCACCCUUGAUUAUUUACAAUUUUUAUUCUCUUCGACUCUUCGUAUUGUGUAAAAGACAUUCAAAUCCUUAUAGUCAUUUUUUCCACAAAAUAAUUCAUCCUCACGGUUUCAGACUUCAUUUUAUUGAUUCCCAUGAAAAAAUUUUUAUUAUAGCCAUGCGCUGGGGGCAAAUUAUAAUCGAAAUUUAAUAUAAAUAAUCGAACAGACAAUUAACGAUCACAAAGUGUGAAUGAUCAGCUCUAGGUUCAUCUCCUAUUUGGAUUUAUAAUAGCGUUUUGUAAUAAUAACUACGCAUUAAGUAAAAUAGAUUUUUGUAUUCUGCAUCAAAUGUCUCGUGUCACACUUACAGUCAAUGGAAUGAUUCGUCGUCGUUAUAAAAUUAUCCAUCACUAGUUAUUGGAUCUAUUUUCCAUUUUUUUAUUUUUCUCUCGGUGGUGGUAGUUAUGGCACAAAUGGUCAGCUCAGUUAUCAUCUGAUAUAGUCCUGGAGUUGUGUGUGGCAAUUGAUGAUUAAUCAGAAAAUUGCGUAUGCAAACACUCGUGAAUCGUCCUCUAAGAUCUAUUUCUUUGGAAUACGGUUGAUGGAGGCUUCUUCGUGUCUUCCCCCAGGUCAGGAUCGAAACCAAGAGCACCAGUUUCCUCGAAAUUCCACAGAAAUUUCCCAAUUCAUGUGAUUAGCCGAGGACUGUGUAAUCCUUCGACCUGAGUAUCAAUUGGUGGACAGUGCUGAGUGUCUGGUGGACCCCAAUCAUGGAUGUUGUUACAUAAAAGGUCGACGGAGUUGGGAUGCGAGAGGUAUACCCAGGGAAUAGUCGCUCUUCUAAUCUCGAACUGAAUCGAUUCGUCGAGAAUGGGUUCGAGUCCUCGGGCAUAUCGCACGAGAAGCUUUGGAAAAAUUUUUCGGAUAAAGGACACGACAAUCCGGAUCUUCUCUGACCACCAGAUUAUUGCUUUCAGCUGUACAUUUCGGGUGUAAUAAAAAGCGGGUAUGGAUGGGAGGAUUGGGUCAAUCACAAAUCACCCAGGGUCAAUCCUCGGGGGUGGGUCUGAGGAUUAUUGGGGUGAUUCGACGGUUCCCAAUAAGGCGGUGGCAAAAAAUCCCCUCCAUUAUUCCCGACGAGAGGAUUUUUCUGUUACUUCAACCUCAUUUUUUUAUAAUUCUCAUUAAUUAUUAUUUGAUUUCACACUAGUUCGUGAUUAAUUAACUUUUUAUUUAGACAAUUGUGAACCGUUAGAAGAGAGGAAAAAUAACUCCGAAUAAAUAAUAAUUAAUAAAAAGAAUGUAACAGAAAAUGGAUCCAGGGGUUGGAUAUUUUAAUCCCUCAAAGGAAUAAACUGUCCGCUGUAGAUGACACGCACCAGUGAUCGUCCAAGGUUUGACCGCAAUCGAUGAGGAAAAAAAAAACAUCCAACUUAUAAAAAAUCAGCCCUUCCCACCCUCAAAGGAAAAGGGUUGAACUACGUGGUAAAGUACAGUGUUUCGCGGAGACUUAUGGAUCGCAUCCGGAUUAUCCGCAUGACUGGUGCGAAUUCCGGUAGUUUUUUGCACGCGGAAAAGAGUCGAAAUUCCAACCGGAUGUGAAUAAUGCAACGUCUCAGCAGGGAUUAUCGUUUUUUUUUUAGAAAUCUUCUCAUGAACUUGUGAGGGUAGUUCUUCUUGUGGAGUUGGAGAGGCCUUUUGACAUGCCAAAAAUGGAGUAUACUGAGAAAAAAUAUAUUAUUGUAUUCUGUGAAGAAUAUCAAUCCCUGGGUGAAUUAUAUUUUUUUCUCAGCGCAUUCAUCGAUUUUUUGGGGAUUGUCAAAUGCCCGCGGGGAAACUCGAGAAAUUCCGGGGAUAUUGACAGGCGGAAUGUCAACAAAUCUUACAACACCGAGAGUAUCAAGUUGCUGGAAGAUAAAUAAGCGAGGGAAUUCACAAGGCGCAGAUCAAUAGCUACUCUACUGGGAUUAUAACAUCGAGUUUCAUCAACACUUUUUUUUUCUGGAAAAAAAAUGGUUUUUUAUUCACACGACCUUUACAGGACUCGAGCUUUUCAAGAAUUUCAAAUUCGACUGUGUAAAAGCGUUUUACUCCUUUAUUUUCAUUUAAAAUUAUUAAAAAUAUCCAUUAUUUAAUAAUUUUUUUUUUCAUUGCACAUGAUAGAGUGCGAAUGGCUGGCUGUAAUGACAGAUGAAGAGAAAGGGGACAGGGGGCAAAAGGGGGGUAACAGGGGGAUUUGUAUGUAGCCAGUGGCAUUGUAGCCUCGGUAUCGAGUUUAUUUAUAAUCCAGCGUUACCGGCAUUUGUGCAGCAAGAGGUUUGCAUUCAACCCGACAGUCAACCCAGGUGAUGAUAGCCUUGGCCCCCUGGCCCCAUUCGUGUUAAACUUCUCUUAUGGCGUGUCUUACCCUCGGUCUCCAACUCAUUGGCUCGCUAAUCACCACCUCUUUUUUCUGCAUUUACGCACGGACACAAAAACUCCAAUAAAAAUUACGUGAAAAUUUCCCAAGUUAAUAUUUAAAUCUCAAAAAUUUCAAUACCAUAUAAAAAAUAAUUUUUCCUUAACCUUAUUAUUGACAAU